rnacentral:lncRNA from 1 species
CAGCUCCCAGUCUUUGUUGACUUGGAACCAGCCCCCAGCUUGGAGUGUCCGGCAGGACAGUGACGGAACAGGACAGGAGCACACAGCUGGUGACAAGCCCAUGAGCACAGCUCACGUCUUGCCCUGCCGCAGUCAGGUUAUUUCAAGAAAUUUUCCACCUUUCCUGCUCUCCUACAUUUUUCUUUAUUCUGUAAAAUGGAGGAGAAACCCCCAAGACAGCCCAGGGUGGCCUGGGAGGAGGUGGUGGCCCCUCAGGAGAGCAGCUCUGCAGCCGAGCCCUACGAGGUGACCAUGGUACAGCCACAGCAGCCCAGUGCCGUGUACACACAGGAAGCCAAGGACUUCAUCCAGGCCUUUGUCAGCAGCCCUGACCAGCUCCAGGAUGAGGACCUGAAACUGAAGUUCCUUGACAGCGUCUGCACCCUGUGCAGAGAUGCCAAUGAUGGUGGCUUGUCCCAGGACCUGGAUGUUUUCUGCCACAAAUACAAGCUGGGAGAGAUGAUCCAGGUGCUGCUGAAAUUGGAACCCAAGAACAAGAUUCGCACAGAGGUGCGGCGGCUCGCCAUGCUCGCCCUCGCUGGACUGAGCAUGUUGGGGAUGGUCCUGGAAAAGAGAAAACUGUUAAGAGCAUGCUUUGAGAGCAUCUUUUUCCUUCCUCCAAAGCGGGAAAUGCAGAGUCUGGAAGCGUCUCUCUUUGUUCGGACUCUGCAUGCCAUGGACACUAUGCUGGAGGUGAUGGUGCUCAGCUCUCCUGCCUCCAAAACCAUCAAGAUUCUUCAGGACAUCUUGGAGGAACUGCUGGGCUACAUUGCCAGAGUGGCUGUGCAGGAGAGGGUCCUGGGCAGGGUUAGGCGGCUGAGCCGUUUGCUGGCCAACUCUUCCAAUGCUGGGCAAAAUGAGAACAGAGUUGCUGCCAGUGGACAGGUCCAGAUCCCAGUCCUUGGGAAGCUGCUGGGACAUCUCCUGUUCAAGUCUUUCAGGACAGAAAAGACAAGCUCUAUGGCUCUGGAUGGUCUCCGCUCUCUCUUCACAUUCACCUGUCAUCAGAAAGGUGCCACACUGCCAGAGGUUCAUGCUGAACUUCCAGCAUACUGGGAAUCUGAGAUCAUCUCCUUGCUGAAUACACCCAGCACCUGGAGAGUUCAGGCAUUUGAGAAAUACCUCAGGCCUGCUGAGAGGACAGGUGUCGUCCUUGUGGCCAUUGAGAUCUUGGGACGCUCCAGCCUCCAGGAGAAGCAAGCGCCAAUGGAGUUUCUGGAGGUGGCCAUGAAAUUCCCUGAGCUGUGGCUAAUGGAUGUGCCAAAGGUGGUGAGACACAUCUUUGCGUACUGUGAUGAAAAAAACACAAUAACCGCUCACAGCUUUUGCACACUGCUUGACCUGAUGGCAAAUAAGUGGCCUGGGCUGGUCGUCGCAACAACUCUGAAGGUUGCACCAAUAUUCAGCAACAAAGUCUAUCUGUGGAAGGCGAUGUUCUCUGUGCGCCAGACUCUGGAGAAGGUUUUGAAGGAGCUGCAAAUCCAGCUCCAGGACUGGCAUAGCAACAUCUUCACUCAGCAGCAGAAGUCUUGCCUCACAUUCUUGUCUAUGCUGGUCUCUGAUGAUGUGGAUGAAGAUGAACUGGAUCCAUUGUACAAAGAGUUGAGAUCUCUGAAGUAUUCAGGAAUGGAAGUGGUCUCUUUGGUUCUCAGGGCCCUUGUGACACUGUCAGAGAGAGCUGAGACGGCAAGAAAAAUAAAGCAAGUCCUCCGAGAGUUCCUGAAAAUCCGAUGGGAAUGGUCUUGGGACAUUUCAGUGAUGGUCAUAGACAUCUUCCAAAAUGUGCUAGGGCACCUGAAGAAGAGAGAGGUCAGCCACAUGGCUGUGAAGGUGGUGCAGAAUCUCUGGCAGCUCUUUGAUGCGAAGGAAGACUGUGUGCGGGAGCGCUCCAUCUGCCUCUUCAGAGACCUGCUGGGCAAAACAUUGUGUGAGGACAAGUGCAUCAUGAAGAAAUAUGCAUGGAAGGCCCUGGUCUGCCUCCUCCUUCACAUGAGUGACCAGGCCCCCAAUGUGGCCAAGGUACCAAUGUCCAGGUUGAGCACUGACCCAGGGACAUGUGGCUGACAUCUGCCAGGGGUCCCAGGCAUAGGGGAAAGGGCUGCUGGCAGCAGGUAGCUUUUAUCCCUGGGCAGCCCCUGGGAACCAGGGCCAGCAGGGCUGGAAAAGCUGGCAUGGCCAUUUGCACCCUCUGCCCUGCCUGCUCCCGCAGGGCUUGGCAGCAGCCCGGCACCACUGAGGCCUGGACAUGUGUGUCCCCAAAGGCUUCUCAGCUGUCCCCACAGUGUCCCCACAGAGCUUUGCACCUGAAUCCCUGCUGGCCAAGACUGUUCCCAAGAGACCUCCACAUGCUUUGGCAAGGGUGUGUCCCAGCUUCCUAAGGGCAGGGUCUGCCCAAGAACAAAGCCCAGGUCUCCUUCCACAGACCCUGGUGCCACCUCACAGCCUCUGUCCCACAGGCCUCCAAGGAAGCUGUCGUGGCUAUAGCAGAGUUCCUCAAGUGGAAGGAGCUCAAGCACCUGGCGCAGACAGAGCAGACAUGGAGGAUGGGCGAGUGCUUGGUGAGGAUGAGCCCCAGGCUGGGCGAGGGCUGCCCGCCACACCAUGCUGGGGCUGUGAGUUCUGUAGCUGGGCCUCCCCUGGACUGCUGUGGCCCAGGGCCCAAAGCCUGGAGCUGCACUCUUGCUUCUGUGUCACGAACAGGAGCCUCCUCCAGGCCUACGUCCCCUCCAUGGCCUCAGCAUGAGGGAGGUCUCUGAGCCACAGGGGUGCUGGCAGGAGGGGCUGCUCUGGCCAGCUGGGGUCCUCUGAGAAAUGCCCACACCCUUGUGCUCUCUCCAGCUGGCCAAGGACAGCAGCAGUCCUGAAUGGUUCGUGUGGGCCAGCCAGCCCUACCUGCUGAGCCCUCAUGCCCCCAUGCGAGAGAUGGCCCUCAGGUUCAUUGGUGAGUCCCAGUCCCCAGUGUCCCUCUCGGGGCAGUCUGGCCCCAUCCCCUCCAGCACUGUUGCUGCCACCGGCAGGGCCUCAGCCUCCCUGUGCCCACCGUGCUCACACAGGUGACUUUGGUGGCCACCUUGCCCAGUGCUAGCCCCAGGCUGCUGAGGCGGUCAGGCAGGGCCAGGGGCUAUGUUGCUGGGAGCAUGCUGGGGAGCAGGGGCUAAUGGAGCUCUGUGCCCAGGGCUGGCUGCGCGGCACCUGACAAAGCAGACUGAGGACACCCUGGCUGAGGUCCUCUUGGGUGAGUGGGGAGCCAGGACUUGGGGGAGCUGAGGGAGUCUUUGAACACAGCGGGGCUCAUCUGGGCUCUCUUUCUCUUGUAGAACUUGAAAUACUGGAAACAACAGAGAAGGAUGCCUCCAUCCGUUGCCUGGCAGCUCAGACCAGCUUGAUCCUGAAGUCUCUAAGCAAGCAGCGAAGAUCACGAUUCUCCCUGUGCAGGCUGUGCUGCUGGCGCCGCUGAGCAGAGAGGGACCUUCACAUCAGGCUUGUCAGGGGCACAAACUCAAACACCUGCUGAAUCAUGAGGUGUGAAAAGGGUGCCCUGGCUUUCUAAGGUCCUUCUCAAAGCAUAGCCCAGCAUUUCAAUGACCGUUGACUCUGCCAUUGCCCUGACCAGUAGGGAUCCAUUCCCUAUCACAUCUUGCCAGAGCUUCUCUGGCUCUAUCACUUCAGCCUGUGACAGGAAUGGGUCACACCCCGGGAGCAGGAUGACCCCAGGUGUGACUAGAGCACUUGCUCUACGGCGUUUUGGCUGUCAGACUGCACUCUGAGGAGACAAGGAUGAGAGGGAAGUCUUUUGCAUGGGAUAAUAGAGGAUUUAUUGCUCUGGGCAAUCUUGGGGGCGAAAGAGAGAAAAUUCAAGCAUGCAACAGCUGAAAUAGGGAGGCGGUUCCAAGGGAGGGUACAAAGCAUCAGCUAAUCAGAGAUAUCCUAGGGAGGGUAAAAGGCAGGGUUCACAAAAUCAUUAUCCAAUGAGGGAGGUAGGGGGGGAAAGUUGGGUCACAUGGACUAAUCAAGUGUUGAAGUUUAGGGGAUUUCCAAAGUGGAAUUCCAAGCAUGCAGUGGGCCUAAGACAGAUUGACAUGAGACUCAGGGUAGAUUGACAACAUGGGGUGGGAGGGUCUCAUUUGGACCAAACCAUCAACUUAGGUAAUGACAGAACAUAACAUUAACAAGAAACACCUUGCAACAAUUCCCCACAGCUCCUGAGCAUGGCAUGAGCUGGUCUAGAAUUACCCUGGGGUCAUAGCCAGUCCCCUCCUGGCUGCAGCCAAAUGGCUGAGCUGCCCUCCCUCAGCCCUUCUGCUCUUCUGCCUGCCUCCCUCAAGCUGGGCAAAAUGAGGACAGAGGUGCUGCCUGUGGAGACAUCCAGAUGCCAGUCCUGGGGUAGCUGCUGGGACAUCUUUUUAAUUCAUUCAAGACAGAAAAGGUUGCUUUAUGGCUCUGGAUGGUUUCUGUGCCUACUUCAAGUUCAUCUGUCAGCAGAAAGGUCAGGGCAGCUGUUGUGGGCUGCAUCCCUGUGAACGGCCACAUCCCCCCGAUGCGUUCACUUGUCUUCCUGGGCCUCGCAAUCGCCCCUUGUGCAUUCACAGGGGAUCUCAUGGGCUCUGCUUCUGUCACAGAAUCUAAAAUAUUGUGGACUAGAAAGAAGAAUCCUGGGUUCUUCAGACCUGGCUAUCUAAAAUGCUUGGAGAAGACCCAGUGUGGCUGGAUCAAACACAGCCACAGACCUUUUAAUACCAAUGAUAGUUGUAGAAAGUUAGUUAUCUUAUAUAUAUAAUUUAUAUAAGUAAACAAUAUAUAUGAAUUAUCUAUAAUAAAUUAUGUAUAAUAUCUAAACA